AAUGAACGUUGGCGGCAUGGAUUAGGCAUGCAAGUCGAGCGAGAACCGUAGCAAUACGGGGACAGCGGCGAAAGGGAGAGUAAUGCGUGGAUUAUCUACCUCCGGGCCUGGGAUAGCUGCGGGGAACUGCAGGUAAUACCAGAUAAUGUCUUCGGACCAAAGGUGUGAUUCCUCCGGGAGAUGAGUCCACGUCCUAUUAGCUAGUUGGUAGGGUAAUGGCCUACCAAGGCAAUGAUGGGUAGCAGGUGUGAGAGCACGACCUGCCUCAUUGGGACUGAGACACUGCCCAGACACCUACGGGUGGCUGCAGUCGAGAAUCUUCGGCAAUGGGCGCAAGCCUGACCGAGCGAUGCCGCGUGCGGGAUGAAGGCCUUCGGGUUGUAAACCGCUGUCAGAGGGGAUGAAAUACGUCGGGGGUUCUCCCCCGGGUUUGACAUAUCCUCAGAGGAGGGACGGGCUAAGUUCGUGCCAGCCGCCGCCGUAAUAC
rnacentral:rRNA from 1 species